rnacentral:rRNA from 1 species
GGGGACCAUCCUCCAAGGCUAAAUACUCCUGACUGACCGAUAGUGAACCAGUACCGUGAGGGAAAGGCGAAAAGAACCCCGGCGAGGGGAGUGAAAAAGAACCUGAAACCGUGUACGUACAAGCAGUGGGAGCACAGAGCAAUCUGUGUGACUGCGUACCUUUUGUAUAAUGGGUCAGCGACUUAUAUUCUGUAGCAAGGUUAACCGAAUAGGGGAGCCGAAGGGAAACCGAGUCUUAACUGGGCGUUAAGUUGCAGGGUAUAGACCCGAAACCCGGUGAUCUAGCCAUGGGCAGGUUGAAGGUUGGGUAACACUAACUGGAGGACCGAACCGACUAAUGUUGAAAAAUUAGCGGAUGACUUGUGGCUGGGGGUGAAAGGCCAAUCAAACCGGGAGAUAGCUGGUUCUCCCCGAAAGCUAUUUAGGUAGCGCCUCGUGAAUUCAUCUCCGGGGGUAGAGCACUGUUUCGGCAAGGGGGUCAUCCCGACUUACCAACCCGAUGCAAACUACGAAUACCGGAGAAUGUUAUCACGGGAGACACACGGCGGGUGCUAACGUCCGUCGUGAAGAGGGAAACAACCCAGACCGCCAGCUAAGGUCCCAAAGUCAUGGUUAAGUGGGAAACGAUGUGGGAAGGCCCAGACAGCCAGGAUGUUGGCUUAGAAGCAGCCAUCAUUUAAAGAAAGCGUAAUAGCUCACUGGUCGAGUCGGCCUGCGCGGAAGAUGUAACGGGGCUAAACCAUGCACCGAAGCUGCGGCAGCGACGCUUAUGCGUUGUUGGGUAGGGGAGCGUUCUGUAAGCCUGCGAAGGUGUGCUGUGAGGCAUGCUGGAGGUAUCAGAAGUGCGAAUGCUGACAUAAGUAACGAUAAAGCGGGUGAAAAGCCCGCUCGCCGGAAGACCAAGGGUUCCUGUCCAACGUUAAUCGGGGCAGGGUGAGUCGACCCCUAAGGCGAGGCCGAAAGGCGUAGUCGAUGGGAAACAGGUUAAUAUUCCUGUACUUGGUGUUACUGCGAAGGGGGGACGGAGAAGGCUAUGUUGGCCGGGCGACGGUUGUCCCGGUUUAAGCGUGUAGGCUGGUUUUCCAGGCAAAUCCGGAAAAUCAAGGCUGAGGCGUGAUGACGAGGCACUACGGUGCUGAAGCAACAAAUGCCCUGCUUCCAGGAAAAGCCUCUAAGCAUCAGGUAACAUCAAAUCGUACCCCAAACCGACACAGGUGGUCAGGUAGAGAAUACCAAGGCGCUUGAGAGAACUCGGGUGAAGGAACUAGGCAAAAUGGUGCCGUAACUUCGGGAGAAGGCACGCUGAUAUGUAGGUGAAGUCCCUCGCGGAUGGAGCUGAAAUCAGUCGAAGAUACCAGCUGGCUGCAACUGUUUAUUAAAAACACAGCACUGUGCAAACACGAAAGUGGACGUAUACGGUGUGACGCCUGCCCGGUGCCGGAAGGUUAAUUGAUGGGGUUAGCGCAAGCGAAGCUCUUGAUCGAAGCCCCGGUAAACGGCGGCCGUAACUAUAACGGUCCUAAGGUAGCGAAAUUCCUUGUCGGGUAAGUUCCGACCUGCACGAAUGGCGUAAUGAUGGCCAGGCUGUCUCCACCCGAGACUCAGUGAAAUUGAACUCGCUGUGAAGAUGCAGUGUACCCGCGGCAAGACGGAAAGACCCCGUGAACCUUUACUAUAGCUUGACACUGAACAUUGAGCCUUGAUGUGUAGGAUAGGUGGGAGGCUUUGAAGUGUGGACGCCAGUCUGCAUGGAGCCGACCUUGAAAUACCACCCUU